CACAGUGCUCCCCAAACCCAGACACAGCCAAUCCACACAGGACUGCUCAGUGUCAGCAAUGGUGCUGGUGCCAUAUCAGGGAGGGGUCAGCAAAGCCACUCCUGAUGGACCUUUGACUGCUCAUGCUGAAUCCUGUCGCAUGGCUACCCUGCACGUCACUCAUCACAGCACCAAGAUCAUGUGUCAAAGGAAUAAUGGCAUGCAUGGGAUAAGUAGCAGUCUGCCUCUUGAAGCCCAAACAUCUGAAAUGGAAAAUUCUGCAGAAUUUAGAUAAAGAUUUGAAUAUA